ACUGAGAGAUAUCUCAGUUGGUAGAGCAUGAGACUCUUAAUCUCAGGGUUGUGAGUUUGAGCCCCAUGUUGGGUG
rnacentral:tRNA from 1 species